rnacentral:sRNA from 1 species
AGAUAAACCUCUACCUUCGGUUGGGAC